CGUAAAGCUAGAAGUGUUCGCGUUUGUUAGUUAGUGUUUCGUUUGCCAAAAUAGGUUAAAGUUAAGUGUGCGGUGUGAAAUUGUGUGCAAUAGCGGAAAUCAAAGCCAAGAUAGAAGCCAUAUUGGCUUGGGCUUCUCACCCGCAGAAUUUCCACGCACCCAAGCGCGAUACCUGUUCCCCCAACGGACGGAAAAUUCCCGACCACCGACUACCCGUCGGAAGUAGACUGGUCCGUCACCAUACUGGUCUAAGGGAGCUCUGGGGACUUCCACGUGGACGAAGUCCACCUGCCGGUUAAUCCAACUGCCGGCAAAGCAAGCAACCGCCAUCGCUUCAUUGAGCAGCGAUCGCCAGGAGCAUCGACCCUACCCCGUAGGUCAUCGACUGUAGUAAGUCGCAUCGAAUCGGUGAGUCUCCAAUCCAAGUCUAUUUUUGCAUGGAGUGCGGCGUCCGAGGAGGGCGCCGCGGAGGGAUAUUUUUUGCCAGUCUUAGACUGAGGACCCGUGAAAGUGCUAUUACACACAAUCGAGAAAUCGCGAGUUGGAGAGGAAAGCCCACCAACCGCUCAAGUCUGUCAAGUCAAGUCAGUGAAAAGCGUGCAUGAGCCCAUUUUCGCCAACACAUAAAUUCCCACCUAAUACCCGGAGCGCAGAAUGACGAGAAACUGAACUUUCGAUAAUCCGUGACGUCACAUAACAUGUAAAAGCACAGAGCACCAGAGAGUAGAAGAUAGGAUAGAGAAAACCGCACACAAGCUAGAGAUAGGCAAUAGA